UACGAAGGGGGGCUAGCGUUGCUCGGAAUCACUGGGCGUAAAGCGCGCGUAGGCGGUCUGUUAAGUGGGAUGUGAAAUCCCCGGGCUUAACCUGGGAAUUGCAUUUCAAACUGGCCGACUAGAGUACGGUAGAGGGAGGUAGAAUUUCCUGUGUAGCGGUGAAAUGCGUAGAUAUCGGGAGGAACACCUGAGGCGAAGGCGGGCUACUGGGCCGAUACUGACGCUGAUGUGCGAAAGCCAGGGGAGCGAACGGG
rnacentral:rRNA from 1 species